CUCUGAAAUUUGCAUAUGAAUGUCAACGUCGGUACAUUCCAGUCGUGUCAUGUGCAUUUACGAACGUUUGAGCGUGAAUAUAAACAACGCAGCUACAAUACUGCUUCAUUUCUUACUAACAAAAUAUUUAACUAUUAACUUUAAAGAAAGAUAACUAACAUUAUUAAAGAAAGCUAUAAUAAUAAAUAACAAUGUUGCAGCAGUUUAGUCACUGGUUUUGGAGCGAAUCAUUUUGGCUGCCUCCCACGACAGAAUGGGAACAUCUGACCGCUAACAAACAUAACAUUCGUAUUCCACAAACACGCGAUUUAUACAUUGUUGUUCCUUUGACGUUCAUUAUCGUGCUUAUAAGGAUGUUUUUUGAAAGGU